UUAGUUUGAUUCCUGGCUCAGGACGAACGCUGGCGGCGUGCUUAACACAUGCAAGUCGAGCGGUAAGGCCUUUCGGGGUACACGAGCGGCGAACGGGUGAGUAACACGUGGGUGAUCUGCCCUGCACUUCGGGAUAAGCCUGGGAAACUGGGUCUAAUACCGGAUAUGACCUCCUAUCGCAUGGUGGGUGGUGGAAAGAUUUAUCGGUGCAGGAUGGGCCCGCGGCCUAUCAGCUUGUUGGUGGGGUAAUGGCCUACCAAGGCGACGACGGGUAGCCGACCUGAGAGGGUGACCGGCCACACUGGGACUGAGACACGGCCCAGACUCCUACGGGAGGCAGCAGUGGGGAAUAUUGCACAAUGGGCGAAAGCCUGAUGCAGCGACGCCGCGUGAGGGAUGACGGCCUUCGGGUUGUAAACCUCUUUCAGCAGGGACGAAGCGCAAGUGACGGUACCUGCAGAAGAAGCACCGGCUAACUACGUGCCAGCAGCCGCGGUAAUACGUAGGGUGCAAGCGUUGUCCGGAAUUACUGGGCGUAAAGAGUUCGUAGGCGGUUUGUCGCGUCGUUUGUGAAAACCAGCAGCUCAACUGCUGGCUUGCAGGCGAUACGGGCAGACUUGAGUACUGCAGGGGAGACUGGAAUUCCUGGUGUAGCGGUGAAAUGCGCAGAUAUUCAGGAGGAANCANCCGGUGGCGAAGGCGGGU
rnacentral:rRNA from 1 species